GAUGAACGCUGGCGGCGUGCCUAAUACAUGCAAGUCGAGCGAACAGACGAGGAGCUUGCUCCUCUGACGUUAGCGGCGGACGGGUGAGUAACACGUGGAUAACCUACCUAUAAGACUGGGAUAACUUCGGGAAACCGGAGCUAAUACCGGAUAAUAUAUUGAACCGCAUGGUUCAAUAGUGAAAGACGGUUUUGCUGUCACUUAUAGAUGGAUCCGCGCCGCAUUAGCUAGUUGGUAAGGUAACGGCUUACCAAGGCAACGAUGCGUAGCCGACCUGAGAGGGGGACCGGCCCAACUGGAACUGAGCCACGGCCCAGCCCCCUAGGGGAGGCAACAGUAGGGAAUCUUCCGCAAGGGGAGAAAGCCUGACGGAGCAACGCCGGGGGAGUGAUGAAGGUCUUCGGAUCGUAAAACUCUUUUAUUAGGAAAAAAAAAAUGUGUAAGUAACUAUGCACGUUUUGACGGUACCUAAUCAAAAAGCCACGGCUAACUCCGU
rnacentral:rRNA from 1 species